rnacentral:rRNA from 1 species
AGAGUUUGAGUCCUGGCUCAGGAUGAACGCUGGCGGCGUGCUUAACACAUGCAAGUCGAACGAGGUUACUUAUUACGAUCCCUUCGGGGUGACGAUUUUUAACCGAGUGGCGGACGGGUGAGUAACGCGUGGGCAACCUGCCCCAUACAGGGGGAUAACAGUUGGAAACGACUGACAAUACCGCAUAAGCGCACGGUACCGCAUGGUACAGUGUGAAAAACUCCGGUGGUAUGGGAUGGGCCCGCGUCUGAUUAGCUAGUUGGUGAGGUUAAACGGGCCCCACCAAGGCGACGAUCAGUAGCCGACCUGAGAGGGCGACCGGCCACAUUGGGACUGAGACACGGCCCAAACUCCUACGGGAGGCAGCAGUGGGGAAUAUUGCACAAUGGGGGAAACCCUGAUGCAGCGACGCCGCGUGAGCGAGGAAGUAUUUCGGUAUGUAAAGCUCUAUCAGCAGGGAAGAAACAUGACGGUACCUGACUAAGAAGCCCCGGCUAACUACGUGCC